rnacentral:rRNA from 1 species
CCUACGGGUGGCUGCAGUGAGGAAUAUUGGUCAAUGGGCGGGAGCCUGAACCAGCCAAGUCGCGUGAGGGAAGACGGUCCUACGGAUUGUAAACCUCUUUUGCCGGGGAGCAACGGGGUCCUUGCGAGGGCCCGAUGAGAGUACCCGGAGAAAAAGCAUCGGCUAACUCCGUGCCAGCAGCCGCGGUAAUACGGAGGAUGCGAGCGUUAUCCGGAUUUAUUGGGUUUAAAGGGUGCGCAGGCGGAGGUGCAAGUCAGCGGUCAAAUUGCGGGGCUCAACCCCGUACUGCCGUUGAAACUGCAUCCCUUGAGUGCGCGAGAAGUAUGCGGAAUGCGUGGUGUAGCGGUGAAAUGCAUAGAUAUCACGCAGAACUCCGAUUGCGAAGGCAGCAUACCGGCGCGCAACUGACGCUCAUGCACGAAAGCGUGGGUAUCGAACAGGAUUAGAUACCCUUGUAGUC